ACUAAUGGACAUUUGGGUUUUUAUUACCUUUUAUCUAGUGUGAAUAAUUGCACUAUGAAUAUGUAUGGACAAUGUUGACAUGUGCCUUUUGUGUGGAUGUAUAUAUCUCUUGGGUAUACACUUAAGAGAAUUGCUGGGUCAUGUGGUAACUUUAUUUUAAACUUUUUGUGGAACUACUAGACUAUUUGCCCAAGAUCCUGUACCAUGCUCUUGUCCCAUGAGCAACAUUAUGAGGACUCUAGUUUCUUCAUAUCCUCACCAAUACUUGAUAUUAUCCCAACAGUGGAGUUAUUGUAACAAAAUAAAUCCAGGGUGAAGGGAGUGCCCACUGAGCUUCAGAGUGACAUCAGAGAAUGUGGGCAAGCAUAUUCUCUCACCAAGCACAGGCCACUCCACCAGCAAUAGGGAACAAUGUUGAUAAUACUGCUAUCCUACUCUGUGGUGCCUCCCUGACAGCUCAGGGUAGGGCUUCUCAAAAUGUAGUCCCCAGACCAGCACCAUGUGCUUUACUGGGAACCAGUUAUGAAUGCUCAAACCCAAUGAGUCAGAAGCUAUGGGGACCCAGCUUGUGCCUUCCAGUGAUUCUGAUGCCUGCUUGAGUCAGGCAAAGGCAGAGUCCAAUGCAGAACAUCUACGAUUCUGAACACCAGCUUUAGCCAUCUUGUUAGUGAUCAUUAAUACACACCAAAUCCUCAACCCCUGCAAAUGAGGCUGACAGUGUCAUAGGAAAGAACUUUUUGAAGGAUUCAGCCAUGCAACCCAAGUGGGAUGGCUUGAUACUGUGCGGUAAUGAGGAACACUUGCUGAUGUAAAAUGCUCACCACAAAUUUUGGACGUGGAAAACCCAAUAAAUAGGAACUUCAAAGCACCUUCUAAAGCCCAGUAACAUAGCUAUUGUUUGCCUCAAUUUUCUUUUCUAAAUAUUUUUAUCCAUUCCAAAUUACAAAGAGUAUGCUGUAACAGUUCUUUUUUAAAAAACUCAUUGGAGCCAGGUGCAGUGGCACACAACUGUAAUUCCAGGGGCUCAGGAGGCUGAGGCA
rnacentral:lncRNA from 1 species